rnacentral:rRNA from 1 species
UACGUAGGUGACAAGCGUUGUCCGGAUUUACUGGGCGUAAAGAGCGCGCAGGCGGUCGUUCAAGUCGAGUGUGAAAGCCCCCGGCUCAACUGGGGAGGGUCAUUCGAUACUGAUCGACUCGAAGGCAGGAGAGGGAAGUGGAAUUCCCGGUGUAGUGGUGAAAUGCGUAGAUAUCGGGAGGAACACCAGUGGCGAAGGCGGACUUCCUGGCCUGUUCUUGACGCUGAGGCGCGAAAGCUAGGGGAGCAACGGG